AGAAUUCCAGGUGUAGCGGUGAAGUGCGUAGAGAUCUGGAGGAAUAUCGGUGGCGAAGGCGGCCCCCUGGACAAAGACUGACGCUCAGAUGCGAAAGCGUGGGUAGCAAACAGGAUUAGAUACCCUGGUAGUCCACGCCGUAAACGAUGUCUACUUGAAGGUUGGGAUCUUGAAUUCUGGCCUUCGGAGCUAACGCGUUAAGUAGACCGCCUGGGGAGUACGGUCGCAAGAUUAAAACUCAAAUGAAUUGACGGGGGCCCGCNCAAGCGGUGGAGCAUGUGGUUUAAUUCGAUGCAACGCGAAGAACCUUACCUACUCUUGACAUCCAGAGAAGCCAGCAGAGAUGCAGGUGUGCCUUCGGGAANUNUGAGACAGGUGCUGCAUGGCUGUCGUCAGCUCGUGUUGUGAAAUGUUGGGUUAAGUCCCGCAACGAGCGCAACCCUUAUCCUUGUUUGCCAGCACGUAAUGGUGGGAACUCCAGGGAGACUGCCGGUGAUAAACCGGAGGAAGGUGGGGACGACGUCAAGUCAUCAUGGCCCUUACGAGUAGGGCUACACACGUGCUACAAUGGUGCAUACAGAGGGAAGCAAGAGCGCGAGCUGGAGCGGAUCCCAAAAAGUGCAUCGUAGUCCGGAUUGGAGUCUGCAACUCGACUCCAUGAAGUCGGAAUCGCUAGUAAUCGUGGAUCAGAAUGCCACGGUGAAUACGUUCCCGGGCCUUGUACACACCGCCCGUCAUC
rnacentral:rRNA from 1 species